rnacentral:rRNA from 1 species
AGAGUUUGAUCCUGGCUCAGGACGAACGCUGGCGGCGUGCUUAACACAUGCAAGUCAAGGAGAAAAUCCGCUUCGGUGGGUGAGUAAACUGGCGACCGGGUGAGUAACACGUAGGCAACCUACCUUUGGAUUUGGGAUAACCUUGUUAACACGGGGCUAAUACCGAAUAUGGUUUUGAGACCACAUGGUCUUAAAAUAAAAGUUGCCUUGAUUUAUCAGGGUAAUGUUCAAAGAUGGGCCUGCGUCCCAUUAGCUAGUUGGUAAGGUAACGGCUUACCAAGGCUACGAUGGGUAGCCGACCUGAGAGGGUGUACGGCCACACUGGGACUGAGAUACGGCCCAGACUCCUACGGGAGGCAGCAGUGAGGAAUAUUGCGCAAUGGGCGAAAGCCUGACGCAGCAACGCCGCGUGAGUGAUGAAAUUCUAAGGAAUGUAAAACUCUGUUAGAAGGGAAGAACGAUAAUGAAGUGAAUAAUUUCAUUAUGUGACGGUACCUUCAGAGAAAGCCCCGGCUAACUCCGUGCCAGCAGCCGCGGUAAUACGGGGGGGGCAAGCGUUGUCCGGAAUUAUUGGGCGUAAAGGGCGCGUAGGCGGAUUAGUAUGUCAGAGGUGAAAACCAUGAGCUUAACUCAUGACCUGCCUCUGAAACUGCUGAUCUUGAGUGCGGAAGAGGGAAGUGGAAUUCCUGGUGUAGCGGUGAAAUGCGUAGAUAUCAGGAAGAACACCGGUAGCGAAGGCGGCUUCCUGGUCCGUAACUGACGCUGAGGCGCGAAAGUGUGGGGAGCAAACAGGAUUAGAUACCCUGGUAGUCCACACUGUAAACGAUGGACACUAGGUGUUGGUAUCGCAUUAGCGAGAUCAGUGCCGAAGCUAACGCAUUAAGUGUCCCGCCUGGGGAGUACGAUCGCAAGGUUGAAACUCAAAGGAAUUGACGGGGGCCCGCACAAGCGGUGGAGCAUGUGGUUUAAUUCGAUGCAACGCGAAGAACCUUACCUGGGCUUGAAGUGUAGUCGAAUUUCCGUGAAAGCGGAACGUCCUUCGGGACGACUAUAGAGGUGCUGCAUGGCUGUCGUCAGCUCGUGCCGUGAGGUGUUGGGUUAAGUCCCUCAACGAGCGCAACCCUUGCCCUUAGUUGCCAUCAGGUUAUGCUGGGCACUCUAAGGGGACUGCCCCGGAUAACGGGGAGGAAGGUGGGGAUGACGUCAAGUCCUCAUGGCCCUUACGUCCAGGGCUACACACGUGCUACAAUGGCUGGUACAGCGGGAUGCAAUACUGUGAAGUGGAGCAAAUCCCUCAAAACCAGUCUCAGUUCGGAUUGCAGUCUGCAACUCGACUGCAUGAAGUUGGAAUCGCUAGUAAUCGCGGAUCAGCAUGCCGCGGUGAAUACGUUCCCGGGCCUUGUACACACCGCCCGUCACGCCAUGGAAGUCGAUAGCACCCGAAGCCGGUGGCCUAACUCGCAAGAGAGGGAGCCGUCUAAGGUGAGAUCGAUGACUGGGGCGAAGUCGGAACAAGGUA